UUGGAGGGCAAGUCUGGUGCCAGCAGCCGCGGUAAUUCCAGCUCCAAUAGCGUAUAUUAAAGUUGUUGCAGUUAAAAAGCUCGUAGUUGAAUUUCGGGAUUGGCGCAUCGGUCGUGCCUCACGGGGUAUGAACUGGUGCAGUCAAUUUCUCACCUUCUGGAGAACCGCGAUGUCCUUAAUUGGAUGCCGCGGGGAACCAGGACCUUUACUUUGAAAAAAUUAGAGUGUUUAAAGCAGGCAUUUUUGCUUGAAUACAUUAGCAUGGAAUAAUAAAAUAGGACGGCAUGGUUCUAUUUUGUUGGUUUCUAGGACCGCCGUAAUGAUUAAUAGGGAUAGUUGGGGGCAUUAGUAUUCAAUUGUCAGAGGUGAAAUUCUUGGAUUUAUUGAAGACUAACUACUGCGAAAGCAUUUGCCAAGGAUGUUUUCAUUAAUCAAGAACGAAAGUUAGGGGAUCGAAGACGAUCAGAUACCGUCGUAGUCUUAACCAUAAACUAUGCCGACUAGGAAUCAGACGAUGUUAAUUUUUUAAUGACUCGUUUGGCACCUUACGGGAAACCAAAGUGUUUGGGUUC
rnacentral:rRNA from 1 species